GAGAAGGCGAACAUUCAGCAAGCAGCGAGUCUGCUGGGGGAAGGACAGAGGCCCGUCCUGGGGGCAGGCAGGGCCCCCAACCCCAACUGUGGAUACGGCCACACAGGCCCUGCCGAGGAAGGGUCAGGACUCACUUCAGUCUCUGGCUGAGUCUCCAUUUCUACCAGUCCCAGCUCCCACCCUGUCUCCUAGCUGUCAGCCCCUCUUCUAAACAGGACAGGGGACCACACUUCUAACAACCUGGCCAGCACUUGCUCUGUGGCCUAGAAGUAAACUUGGAAUGUAGAACCUGCCCAUCCACCGUGCUGGGCCACCUGGGGGCGGGAGGAUGGCUUGGUACAGUGCUGGCCUGGUACUCUUCUUGACCACAGCCCCCUGGGACAUGAGUGUGUAACUGGGAAGGGUUAAUUCAUGCUGGAUCUGCUUCUGAGACUUUUAACCCUCAUCUUGCCACGUUUGUUAUUAUAAACAUACAGAAUGGGCUGCAAGGAGAUCAAACCAGUUAAUCCUGAAGGAAACCUGUCCUGAAUAUUCAUUGGAAGGACUGAUGCUGAAGCUGAAUCUCCAGUACUUAUGGCCACCUGAUGCGAAGAACUGACUCACUGGAAAAGACCCUGAUAGUAGCAAAGAUUGAAGGCAGGAGGAGAAGGGGACGACAGAGGAUGAGAUGGUUGGAUGGCAUCACCAACUCAAUGGAUAUGAGUUUGAGCAAGCUCUGGGAGUUGGUGAUAGACAGGGAGCCUGGCAUGCUGCAGUCCAUGGAGUUGGAAAGAGUCAGACAGGACUGAGCAACUGAACUGAACUGAAUGGCCGGCCUCAGGGAGACAGCCCGAGCCACCCACCUGUGGAGGACUGUAGGGAAGUGAAACGAACACAUUCCCCUGCCUGAGGCUUGUUAUUCUAGGGGACAUUUACAAGGAUCGAAUAGCCUUUUUCAUUUGUUUCCUUACCUCCCCCCAUCUCUGAUCCAUAAAAGAACCUGGCAUUCAGGUCCAGACUAGACGGAUAUUUUGCAGUGCUAGCCUGCUGUCUUCUUCAUCAGCCAUCUCCCGAAUAAAGUCCCUUCCUGAUCCCAACACUUCCUCUUGGAUUCAUGGACUUAUCUUGCGAUACCUUUGUACUCUGAUGCUCUAUAGUAAGGGCUUCAUUAUCCAGGAGAUUCACAAAGAGGUCAUGGAAGCAGCUGCAGCCAUUCCACAUGAAAAUGAUGACUGUUGUGAGGAUUCCAGCCCACAUAGAUGAAAACAAGUCUGUCCUGCCCCUGGGUCCCUAGACCAGGUUGUUUCAUUUUUGGCCACAAGGAAUGUGGGAUCUUAGCUGCCCAACCAGGGAUCGAACCUGCACCCCCUGCACCACCUGCGUAGGAAGACAAAGUCUUAACCAAUGGACCCCCAGGGAAGAGGAUGCUACUGAGAGCUGGGGUCUAGACAGGCCCCUAGGAAGAGAAUGGCCAUCAUGGAUGGUGCAGGCUUCUCUGUCCAUAGGAUUCUCCAGGCAAGAAUACUGCAGUGGGUUGCCAUUUCCUCCAGGGGAUCUUCCCCAUCCAGGGAUCGAACCCACGUCUCUUACAUCUCCUGCAUUGACAGUCGGGUUCUUUACCACUGAGCCACCUAGCGCAGCCCCGUGAGUACACAUACGUGCAUAGAUAUUGAACUUGUGUUCAGCGAGGUCACACAGCUCAACUGAACUGAACUAGAGGCAUUUGAGUCCAGAUGAACCAUGCGGCAUAUUGAUCGGUUACAGCUCACUUCUUGAGCAGAGGUAGCCACACUUGGAGCAUCCCUGAGCCUGAAGAAGUGGGAGAAGGACUAGGCAGUCCUGAAGCUGCUGGCCUCCCCAGGUUGCACCCCAGGUGCACCUCUUGUUCUGCUUUGUAGCCUGUGGCCCCCAACCCAACAGAGCAGCUGUCUCUCUCACAUUCUGCAUAGACUCACGACUAGACAUUGUGUUCCCCUGGGGAGAAAGAGGUUGAAGAGUUUUAUGAACCUUUGAACCAGCCAUUACCAGGAAAAAAAAAUUAGAUGCAGGUUGCUAAGCUGCCUUCCUG